GCAGCCAAAGGUGGGACCCAAAAACCUGAACCAACCAUUGGUCUCACCAGUGGAGCUCAGGCAGCCACAGGCAGCACCACAGGGCAGCCGGAGCCGGGCCCUGUCCCUCUGUGGGGACAGGCUGCCACCGCUGCCACCGCUGCCACCGCUGCCACAGCAGCCACAGUUGCCACCACUGCCACAGCUGCCACGGCUGCCACAGCUGUCACUGCUGCCACAGCUGCCACCACUGCCACCACUGCCCUGCCUGGUGAGUCCCAGGCACACUCACAGCCAGGGCACAGAGCUGGGGAGCGCAGGAGAGAAGGGGCCCCAGCCCUGCAGCCCCUGUCCUGGGCAGCCACACACCCCCGUGCCCAGGGUGCUCUUGCCCCCGCUCAGGGUGGCCCAGGAGGGCACAGCCCAUGUGUCCCCAAGCUGGCAGCUGCAGCCUGUGCCACCCAUCCCCUCGGGGGCUCGAGUCAUGGAGCGCAGCCUCACGGGCACAGCUCCAGGAAAAUGGCAUAACAAUGAGCUGUCCCGAGGGGAAAGUGACAGUGACCAGGAGCUGUCCCCAGUGACAGAGGACAUUGAGCUCUCUCCAGGGGACAGCAGGAGUGACCUGGAACUGUCCCCAGUGGAAGAUGACAGUGAGCUCUCUCCAGUGGACAGCACAAGUAAUGAGGAGCUGUCCCCAAUAGAAGAGGCCACUGAGCUCUCUCCAGGGGACAGCAGGAGUAACCAGGGGUGUCCUCAAUGGAAGAGGCCAUCGAGGUGAUUCCAGGGGACAGCAUGAGUGACCAGGAGCUGUCCCCAGUUGGAAAGGAUAUUGAGGACAUUGCAGAGGACAGCACGAGUGACCUGGGGCUGUCCCAAGUGUCAGACGACAUCGAUGUCUUUCGAGGGGACAGCAUGAGUGGUCAGGAGCGGUCCCCAGCGGAAGAAAGCACUGAGGUAAUUUCAGGGGACAGCCCAACUGAUGAGGAGCUGUCCCCAGUGCCAGAGGACAUUGAGAGCAGUGCAGGGGACAGAGAGAGUGACAAGGAGCUGUCACAAACAGAGAGUGACAAAGAGCUGUCCCAAGGGCAGAGCAACGAGGGUGAGAAGGUUUCCCCAGAAGAGGUCAAAGAUUAUUCCCAGCUGUGCUCUGGGGAAGACUGUGGUGUCCAGGGCAUGUCCCAAUGGGAAGAAGCUGAGGAUGAAGAUCUCUCCCAUUGGGAAGAAGAUGAGGAUGAAGAGCUCUUUCACUGGGAAGAAGAUGAGGAUGAAGAGCUCUCCCAUUGGGAAGAAGAUGAGGAUGAAGAGAUACCAAGGAUGGCCCUGCUUGGUGGAAUGGAGAGAGGNNNNNNNNNNNNNNNNNNNNUGUCACCGCUGCCAAGACUGCCACAGCUGCCACCACUGCCACCACUGCCCUGCCUGGUGAGUCCCAGGCACACUCACAGCCAGGGCACAGAGCUGGGGAGUGCAGGAGAGAAGGGGCCCCAGCCCUGCAGCCCCUGUCCUGGGCAGCCACACACCCCCGUGCCCAGGGUGCUCUUGCCCCCGCUCAGGGUGGCCCAGGAGGGCACAGCCCUUGUGUCCCCAAGCUGGCAGCUGCAGCCUCUGCCACCCAUCCCCUCGGGGGCUCGAGCCGUGGAGCGCAGCCUCAUGGGCACAGCUCCAGGAAAAAUAGAUAACAAUGAGCUGUCCCGAGGGGAAAGUGACAAUGACCAGGUGCUGUCCCCAGUGACAGAGGACAUUGAGCUCUCUCCAGGGGACAGCAGGAGUGACGUGGAGCUGUCCCCAGUGGAAGAUGACAGUGAGCUCUCUCCCGGGGACAGCAACAGUGAGCCAGGGGUGUCCUCAGUGGAAAUGGCCAUCGAGGUGAUUCCAGGGGACAGCACAAGUGACCAGGAGCUGUCCCAUGUGGAAGAAGCCAUUGAGGGCAUUGCAGGGGACAGCACAAGUGACCAGGAGCUGUCCUCAGUGGAGGAAGCCAUCGUAGCUGUUUCAGGGGACAGCCCAACAGAUGAGGAGCUGUCCUCAGUGGAAGAGGACACUGAGGGCAUUGCAGAGGACAACACAAGUGACAAGAAGCUGUCCCCAGUGGAAGAGGCCUCUGAGGUUGUUUCAAGGGACAGUCUGGUUGAUGAAGGGCUGUCCUCAGUGGAAGAGGCCUUUGAGGUCGCUCCUGAGGACAGCACAAGUGACCUGGAGCUGUCCCCAGUGGAAGAGGCCAUCGUGGUCAUUUCAGGGUACAGCCCGACUGAUGAGGAGCUGUCCUCAGUGGAAGAGGCCAUCGAGGUCGCUCCUGAGGACAGCACAAGUGACGUCAGGCUGUACCAAAUGGAAAAUGACAAGGAGCACUCCCGAGGGGACAGCAAGAGUGACAAGGAGCUGUCCCCAGGUGAAAAGGAGUGUGAAAAAGAGCUGUCCCAAUGGCUAGAACAUGAAGCUGGAGAGCUCUCCCAAUUGGAAGAACAAGAGGAUGAAGAGCUCUGCCAUUGGGAAGAUGAGGAUGAAGCACUCUCCCAUAGGGAAGAAUGUGAGGUUGAAGAGCUGAGAAGGAUGACCCUGCUUGGUGGAAUGGAACAAGAUUCAAGCUCAUCACCUGAACU
rnacentral:lncRNA from 1 species